UACGGGGGGGGCAAGCGUUGUUCGGAAUUACUGGGCGUAAAGGGCCCGUAGGCGGCCAACUAAGUCGGACGUGAAAUCCCCAGGCUCAACCUGGGAACUGCGUCCGAUACUGGAUGGCUUGAAUUCGGGAGAGGGAUGCAGAAUUCCAGGUGUAGCGGUGAAAUGCGUAGAUAUCUGGAGGAAUACCGGUGGCGAAGGCGGCAUCCUGGACCGACAUUGACGCUGAACGGCGAAAGCUAGGGGAGCAAACAGG
rnacentral:rRNA from 1 species